UAUUGUGUGCGUUUAUUGUGUGCUUAUCGUACUUCACAUUCGUCGACUGGAUAUUUUGCGCGUUUCGGAACGUCCUCCCGCAUUGAUCAAGUGGGGGAUGAUGCAUCGUCGUUCGUCGCCACUCAGAACAGCCUCAUCGGACGCGCUGCUUUGUCUCCGCGCUCAAAAGUGCUUUCUUGCUUCGUUUAUCGAUUACCCACGUUAAUCGCGCGAUUCAAUAUCGAGUGUACCUCCAAAGACAAUCCACUUCCAAGUGUUGUGACAAGCGGCGACCGCGGUUGUACAGGAGCGGAAGCGUGAGCCUUUUGACGAGCGACUGUGAAGAAUGCAAAGCCAGUGCCAAACUUCGGAAUCGAUAGCACGGGCGGCGUGUUGGCACAGCGAGGAUGAGAACGAGAGACCCGAUAGACAGCGAUGACAGCUGUUCACGGCACCGACACAGAGGACAUAUUGCAGUGCAAGAUAGGAGCGGUCUUCCUGCAAGCCCAGACAAGCCAUAUUGAGUGGUUUCAAAUACAGCAACUGUACCACCACGACAGUGCAGCACAAGAGACCCUAU